AGAACGAACGCUGGCGGCAGGCCUAAUACAUGCAAGUCGAACGGAUGUAGCAAUACAUUAGUGGCGCACGGGAGAGUAACGCGUGGGAACCUACCCUUUAGUUUGGGAUAACGUCGGGAAACUGACGCUAAUACCGAAUGACCCCUCCGGGGGAAAGAUUUAUCGCUAAAGGACGGGCCCGCGUAAGAUUAGCUAGUUGGUGAGGUAAUGGCUCACCAAGGCGACGAUCUUUAACUGGUCUGAGAGGAUGACCAGUCUCACUGGGACUGAGACACGGCCCAGACUCCUACGGGAGGCAGCAGUAGGGAAUAUUGGACAAUGGGGCAACCCUGAUCCAGCCAUGCCGCGUGAACGAUGAAGGCCUUCGGGUUGUAAAGUUCUUUUGGUGGGGACGAUGAUGACGGUACCCACAGAAUAAGCACCGGCUAACUUCGUGCCAGCAGCCGC
rnacentral:rRNA from 1 species